AUGCAUCCCGUGCUGUUUGUCACCAGUCCGCAGGCCAAUGCAGGGGCUGAGGGAUCCUCUGCCCAGCAUGGAGCUGCAUCCCUAACUAGCAGAGCGGAGAGACAGCUGCUCAAGAGCUCCCAAGGAGAGAAGAGGAUCAAGCCCAUCAAUUGCAUCCAUGAUCAGCUUAGAAGCUGUUCUUUGGGCCAGAGAUGCAGUUUGGAUUCUGAAUGUCCCCAAAAGGUCAUCGACAAAGGUGUGGUCCCUGGGUCAGGGCUCUUUGAGGAGGAGGUGGAGCUUUUCAGAAGUUAGACCCUGUGGGCAGAAGUGAGGUCCCUGGAGUUGUGCUGUGGUAGGGAAGGCUGGGAUCUCUGUCCCUUCCUCUCUCUUUCACUUACUGCUCUUUCACAGCAGGCCAACUGACCAUGGAUUGAACCUCCCCAAACCAUGAGCCAAAAUAAACUUUUCCUCUUGCUAAGCUGAUGAUCCCAGGUGUUUUGUUACAGUAACGGAAAGCUAUCACAGCCAGCUUCCCAAAACCUAAAAAACCAGUCUCACAGGAACUGGUUUCUCUUAGUGUUCCCAAACCUGGCUGCUCAUCCAAUGACUUGGGAAGUUUCUAAGAAUCCUGGUGCUCAAGUCAUCCCACAGCAAUUAAGUUGGAGUGUCUGAAGCCAGGAACCAGCAACAGUACUUUGUAAAAGGCCUCAAGAGAUCCCAGAGUAUAGCAAAAUUUGGGAUCCACUGGCCCCUGUGAGAAACAGUCCUAAGGCUGUGAAUUUUGCUGACUGGAGCCUGAUGCUGAUAUGGACUGGGUUCUGAAUUCUAGUCUACAACAGACAGUUCCAUCCUCUUUCCCUGGCCCAGAAGAUUUAUCCUGGCUCCAGCCCCGCUAUUCUGGGAGUGCCAACCCUAGACAGGGUAAGAACAGCAAGUCCAUUCCACCCCAGUACCCAAAAGGCAAAUAAAAAAGCACAUGUAUUUGUAACACUUUAUAAUUUGUAAAAUUCUCUAACACCUUUGUACUCUCCUCA
rnacentral:lncRNA from 1 species